UACAUUUUAGUAUAGGGCGUAUGUAAAUUUUUGAUAUUUGAGGAAAUAGUUUAAUUCUAUUAAAUGUAA
rnacentral:tRNA from 1 species